UACGAAGGGAGCUAGCGUUGUUCGGAAUCACUGGGCGUAAAGCGCACGUAGGCGGAUGUGUCAGUCAGGGGUGAAAUCCCGGAGCUCAACUUCGGAACUGCCUUUGAUACAGCACAUCUGGAGUCCGGAAGAGGUGGGUGGAAUUCCUAGUGUAGAGGUGAAAUUCGUAGAUAUUAGGAAGAACACCAGUGGCGAAGGCGGCUCACUGGUCCGGUACUGACGCUGAGGUGCGAAAGCGUGGGGAGCAAACAGG
rnacentral:rRNA from 1 species